GGUUGUGGCUCAGUGGUAGUGUGCUUGCCUUGCAUGUGGGGCACUGGGUUCGAUCCUCAGCAUCA
rnacentral:tRNA from 1 species